GUUUAGAGACGAAAUUCAUUUGAGCACACUGUGUGGUUUGCAACCUCCAUUGUGAACAUUGUUGGCGGUGCAAUACAGCCUUGCCUGCUGUCUGCCAGCUAUUUGUGUCUAUUAAGCGCCUAUAAAAGGAAGGAAGCAUGGCGGGGCGGCCCACAUCAAAUUCCAAGCGGCGAGGCCGAGAAGUGGUCAUGCUGAUUUCAUCAAACAUGCGAGAGAGCUGCUCGCUUGCUACGGGAGGCCUGACAACAAGCAGAACCUUUGGCAUCUGAUGCGGCGAUGAAGAGCUCCAAUAAGAUUUUGCGAGGCGUUCCAUUGAAGUCUCUGUUCCAUUGGUGCAGAAGUUACCCAUAAAAGGCAUUUGAAGUGAAGUAGCGCCAGAGGCUGAAUCAGAAACCAAAUCAGUCGCCCUUACCUUUGAGGCCAACAUCAAACACUUCUGCAAGAUUUAGCUUCGCUACCUCAGGGGUAUUGUAAACCUCAGCUCCGCACUCUCCAUCCCUGGAACAGGUUCAUAUUUUGUCUUGUCUCUUG